GAUGAAGAACGCAGCGAAAUGCGAUACGUAAUGUGAAUUGCAGAAUUCAGUGAAUCAUCGAAUCUUUGAACGCAUAUUGCGCUCUCUGGUAUUCCGGAGAGCAUGCUUGUUUGAGUAUCAGUAAACACCUCAACUCCCUUUUCUUUUUUGAAAUUGGAGCUGGCCUUGAGUGAUCCCAACGCUUUCUUCCAAGAAAGUGGCGGGUUGCUUGAAAUGCAGGUGCAGCUGAACUUUUCUCUGAGCUAUAAGCAUAUCUAUUUAGUCUGCCUAAAAAACAGAUUAUUACCUUUGCUGCAGCUAACAUAAAGGAGACUAGUUCUUGUGCUGACUGAUGCAGGAUUCACAGAGACAGCUUCGGCUGACUUUGUAAACUCGAUCUCAAAUCAAGUAAGACUACCCGCUGAACUUAAGCAUAUCAAUAAGCGGAGGA
rnacentral:misc_RNA from 1 species